GACGAACGCUGGCGGCGCGCUUAACACAUGCAAGUCGAGCGAGAACCGGUCCUUCGGGACCGGGGAAAGCGGCGAACGGGUGAGUAACACGUGAGUAAUCCACCCUCGGCACCGGGAUAGCCCGGGGAAACUCGGAUUAAUACCGGAUGGCCCAGCAGCUCUUCGGGGCGGCUGGAAAAGGUAGCUUCGGCCUCCGGCCGAGGACGAGCUCGCGGCGGAUUAGCUUGUUGGUGGGGUAAUGGCCUACCAAGGCGACGAUCCGUAGCUGGUCUGAGAGGACGAUCAGCCACACUGGGACUGAGACACGGCCCAGACUCCUACGGGAGGCAGCAGUGGGGAAUCUUGCGCAAUGGGCGAAAGCCUGACGCAGCGACGCCGCGUGAGGGAAGAAGGCUUUCGGGUUGUAAACCUCUUUCAGGAGGGACGAAGCUACUCGGGUGAAUAGCCCAGAGGGUGACGGUACCUCCAGAAGAAGCCCCGGCUAACUACGUGCCAGCCGCCGCGGUAAUAC
rnacentral:rRNA from 1 species